AACGAACGCUGGCGGCAUGCCUAACACAUGCAAGUCGAACGAGACCUUCGGGUCUAGUGGCGCACGGGUGCGUAACGCGUGGGAACCUGCCCUUAGGUUCGGAAUAACUCUCCGAAAGGGGUGCUAAUACCGGAUAAUGUCUUCGGACCAAAGAUUUAUCGCCUUUGGAUGGGCCCGCGUUGGAUUAGCUAGUUGGUAGGGUAAAAGAAUACCAAGGCGACGAUCCAUAGCUGGUCUGAGAGGAUGAUCAGCCACACUGGGACUGAGACACGGCCCAGACUCCUACGGGAGGCAGCAGUGGGGAAUAUUGGACAAUGGGCGAAAGCCUGAUCCAGCAAUGCCGCGUGAGUGAUGAAGGCCUUAGGGUUGUAAAGCUCUUUUACCCGGGAUGAUAAUGACAGUACCGGGAGAAUAAGCUCCGGCUAACUCCGUG
rnacentral:rRNA from 1 species